rnacentral:rRNA from 1 species
UACGUAGGGUCCGAGCGUUGUCCGGAAUUACUGGGCGUAAAGAGCUCGUAGGCGGUUUGUCGCGUCUGCUGUGAAAACUCGAGGCUCAACCUCGGGCUUGCAGUGGGUACGGGCAGACUAGAGUGCGGUAGGGGUGACUGGAAUUCCUGGUGUAGCGGUGGAAUGCGCAGAUAUCAGGAGGAACACCGAUGGCGAAGGCAGAUCUCUGGGCCGUAACUGACGCUGAGGAGCGAAAGCGUGGGGAGCGAACAGG